rnacentral:rRNA from 1 species
CCUACGGGUGGCAGCAGUCGGGAAUAUUGGGCAAUGGAGGAAACUCUGACCCAGCAAUACCGCGUGAAGGAUGAAGGUUUUCGGAUUGUAAACUUCUGUUAUAAAGGAAGAAAAAAAUGACGGUACUUUAUAAGUAAGCCCCGGCAAACUAUGUGCCAGCAGCCGCGGUGAUACAUAGGGGGCAAGCGUUGUCCGGAAUGACUGGGUGUAAAGGGCGUGCAGCCGGGAAGACAAGUCAGAUGUGAAAUCCCGGGGCUCAACCGCGGAACUGCAUUUGAAACUGUUUUUCUUGAGUACCGGAGAGGUCAUCGGAAUUCCUUGUGUAGCGGUGAAAUGCGUAGAUAUAAGGAAGAACACCAGUGGCGAAGGCGGAUGACUGGACGGCAACUGACGGUGAGGCGCGAAAGCGUGGGGAGCAAACAGGAUUAGAUACCCCUGUAGUC